UUUUAGGGCAAUUGAGCAAACUCAGCAAAGCCACCACCAGCCACCAGGCGCCAGCAAAAUCUUCAUUAGUUUCAUAGUUUGGAUUCUUUGGAGUUUGGAACUUGGAAGUAAAUUUCUAAAACCAAGCUUGAAGCAACUAAGCAAGUUAAGUUGGUACUUUGCUUGAGCUUCCAGCUCUCAUUGGAUUUUGGGGUUAUCUCUUCCAAAUCAUCUGUUUUCUCCACCCUAUUGUCGAUUGACUUCAUUGCCACUAUUUAGCUAGCACUGGAGCACAAAAGAGAACUCGUGUUGAGUUUAGUCCAGAUGAUAUUAUUGCUGAUCCUGGAAUUCGCCAACCAAUUGAAGAGUAUGAUGUGGGUAUUAGAGAUCAAGUUCGAAGAUCAUAUUUAUUGAAAGGCCCAUGCCAACCAACGGGAUAUGACUUCCCCAAAAAACAACAAGGAAAAGAAAUACGACGCUUUCAAGAAGUGUGGUUUCAAAAGUAUG